rnacentral:rRNA from 1 species
GACGAACGCUGGCGGCGUGCCUAAUACAUGCAAGUCGAACGAGAGCGACCGGUGCUUGCACUGGUCAAUCUAAUGGCGAACGGGUGAGUAACACGUGGGUAACCUGCCCAUCAGAGGGGGAUAACAUCCGGAAACGGAUGCUAAAACCGCAUAGGUCUUCGAGCCGCAUGGCUUGAAGAGGAAAAGAGGCGCAAGCUUCUGCUGAUGGAUGGACCCGCGGUGCAUUAGCUAGUUGGUGAGGUAACGGCCCACCAAGGCCGUGAUGCAUAGCCGACCUGAGAGGGUGAUCGGCCACAUUGGGACUGAGACACGGCCCAAACUCCUACGGGAGGCAGCAGUAGGGAAUCUUCCGCAAUGGACGCAAGUCUGACGGAGCAACGCCGCGUGAGUGAAGAAGGUUUUCGGAUCGUAAAACUCUGUUGUUAGAGAAGAACAAGUGCUAGAGUAACUGUUAGCGCCUUGACGGUAUCUA